UUAAUUGAAGAGUUUGAUCAUGGCUCAGAUUGAACGCUGGCGGCAGGCUUAACACAUGCAAGUCGAGCGGUAGCACGGGGGAGCUUGCUCCCUGGGUGACGAGCGGCGGACGGGUGAGUAAUGUCUGGGAAACUGCCUGAUGGAGGGGGAUAACUACUGGAAACGGUAGCUAAUACCGCAUAACGUCGCAAGACCAAAGAGGGGGACCUUCGGGCCUCUUGCCAUCAGAUGUGCCCAGAUGGGAUUA
rnacentral:rRNA from 1 species